ensembl:lncRNA
GCCUCAUGAUAUUCCUAAACCUCCUGCCUCAUGACAUUCCUAAACCUCCUUCCUCAUGAUAUUCCUAAACCUCCUUCCUCAUGAUAUUCCUAAACCUCCUGCCUCGUGGACAUUCCUAAACCUCCUUCCUCGUGGAUAUUCCUAAACCUCCUGCCUCAUGACAUUCAUAAACCUCCUGCCUCGUGGACAUUCCUAAACCUCCUGCCUCAUGACAUUCCUAAACCUCCUGCCUCGUGGACAUUCCUAAACCUCCUGCCUCAUGACAUUCCUAAACCUCCUGCCUCGUGACAUUCCUAAACCUCCUGCCUCGUGGACAUUCCUAAACCUCCUGCCUCAUGACAUUCCUAAACCUCCUGCCUCGUGGACAUUCCUAAACCGUAUGAGCGUAUGAGAGUAUACAUGCAAGUGUGUGUGUGUGUGUGUGUGUGUGUGUGUGUGUGUGCGUGUGUGUGUGUGUGUGUGUGUGUGUGUGUGUGCGUGUGCCCAUAAGGCUAGAAUCAAUGAUCAAAGACAGCUAAAGGUAAAAAACUCCAAAGUCAAAGAGGUAAUGCACCCAACCUCUCUCAGCAUAUGGCCCACUAAAUGACUCCAGUCAGUCACUCCAAAUCUAAAGAUGCAAAGGGGGAGAAUAUUAGAAGCAAGCAUCCAUCCCCAAUCCCCAGCCCUCUUUCUCUCCAUCCCUCUGUCUCUUUCUCUCCAUCCCUCCCUCUGUCUCUCUCUUUCUCUCCCUCCCUCACUCCCUCCCCCCUUCAACUCGGUGUGGUGCAGCGUGUGUGUAGUGUGGUGUAGUGUAGUGUAGUGUAGUGUAGUGUGUAGUGUGUAGUGUAGUGUAGUGGGGUGUGGUGUGGUGUGGUGUAGUGUAGUGUGGUGUAGUGUAGUGUGGUGUAGUGUAGUGUAGUGUAGUGUGGUGUAGUGUAGUGUGUGGUGUAGUGUAGUGUAGUGUGUGUAGUGUAGUGUAGUGUAGUGUAGUGUAGUGUGUGUGUAGUGUGUGUGUGUGUAGUGUAGUGUAGUGUAGUGUAGUCUGGUGUAGUGUGGUGUAGUGUAGUGUAGUGUGGUGUGGUGUGGUGUAGUGUAGUGUGUGUGUAGUGUAGUGUAGUGUAGUGUAGUGUGUGUAGUGUAGUGUAGUGUGUAGUGUGUAGUGUAGUGUAGUGUGGGUGUAGUGUGUGUGUAGUGUAGUGUGUAGUGUAGUGUAGUGUGUAGUGUAGUGUAGUGUGUGUGUAGUGUAGUGUAGUGUAGUGUAGUGUGUAGUGUGGUGUGGUGUAGUGUGUGUGUAGUGUAGUGUGGUGUAGUGUGUGUAGUGUAGUGUAGUGUAGUGUGUAGUGUAGUGUAGUGUAGUGUAGUGUGGUGUAGUGUAGUGUAGUGUAGUGUGUGUGUAGUGUAGUUUGGUGUAGUGUGUGUAGUGUAGUGUUGUGUAGUGUAGUGUGUAGUGUGUAGUGUAGUGUAGUAUAGUGUAGUGUAGUGUGUAGUGUAGUGUGGUGUGGUGUGGUGUAGUGUAGUGUAGUGUAGUGUAGUGUAGUGUGUGUGUAGUGUAGUGUGUAGUGUAGUGUAGUGUAGUGUAGUGUAGUGUAGUGUGUAGUGUGGUGUAGUGUGGUGUAGUGUAGUGUAGUGUAGUGUAGUGUAGUGUGUGUGUGUGGUGUAGUGUAGUGUAGUGUGUGUGUAGUGUGUGUGUGGUGUAGUGUGUGUGUAGUGUAGUGUAGUGUAGUGUAGUGUAGUGUAGUGUGUGUGUGUGUAGUGUAGUGUAGUGUAGUGUGUGUGUGGUGUGGUGUGUGUGGUGUAGUGUGUAGUGUGGUGUGGUGUAGUGUAGUGUAGUGUGGUGUAGUGUGUGUGUAGUGUAGUGUAGUGUGGUGUAGUGUGUGUGUAGUGUAGUGUAGUGCAGUGUAGUGUAGUGUAGUGUAGUGUGUGUGUGUGUAGUGUAGUGUAGUGUAGUGUGUGUGUGGUGUGGUGUGUGUGGUGUAGUGUGUAGUGUGGUGUAGUGUAGUGUAGUGUAGUGUAGUGUAGUGUAGUGUAGUGUAGUGUGUGUGUGGUGUGGUGUGUGUGGUGUAGUGUGUAGUGUGGUGUGGUGUAGUGUAGUGUAGUGUAGUGUAGUGUUGAAGUGUAGUGUUGUGAUGUAGUGUAGUGUGUGUGUGGUGUGUAGUGUGGUGUGGUGUGGUGUGGUGUGGUGUGGUGUGGUGUAGUGUGGUGUGUAGUGUAGUGUGUGUAGUGUGUGUAGUGUAGUGUAGUGUAGUGUAGUGUAGUGUAGUGUAGUGUGGGUGUAGUGUGUGUGUAGUGUAGUGUGUAGUGUAGUGUGGUGUAGUGUGGUGUGGUGUAGUGUAGUGUGGUGUAGUGUAGUGUAGUGUAGUGUGUAGUGUAGUUUAGUGUAGUGUAGUGUGGUGUAGUGUAGUGUAGUGUAGUGUGUAGUGUAGUUUAGUGUAGUGUAGUGUGGUGUGGUGUAGUGUAGUGUGUGUAGUGUAGUGUAGUGUAGUGUAGUGUAGUGUAGUGUAGUGCAGUGUAGUGUAGUGUAGUGUAGUGUGUGUGUGUGUAGUGUAGUGUAGUGUAGUGUGUGUGUGGUGUGGUGUGUGUGGUGUAGUGUGUAGUGUGGUGUAGUGUAGUGUAGUGUAGUGUAGUGUAGUGUAGUGUAGUGUAGUGUGUGUGUGGUGUGGUGUGUGUGGUGUAGUGUGUAGUGUGGUGUGGUGUAGUGUAGUGUAGUGUAGUGUAGUGUUGAAGUGUAGUGUUGUGAUGUAGUGUAGUGUGUGUGUGGUGUGUAGUGUGGUGUGGUGUGGUGUGGUGUGGUGUGGUGUGGUGUAGUGUGGUGUGUAGUGUAGUGUGUGUAGUGUGUGUAGUGUAGUGUAGUGUAGUGUAGUGUAGUGUAGUGUAGUGUGGUGUGUGUGUAGUGUAGUGUAGUGUGGUGUAGUGUGUGUGUAGUGUAGUGUAGUGUAGUGUAGUGUAGUGUGGGUGUAGUGUAGUGUAGUGUAGUGUGUAGUGUAGUGUGUGUGUGUGUAGUGUAGUGUAGUGUAGUGUGUGUGUAGUGUAGUGUAGUGUAGUGUAGUGUGUGUGUGUUGUAGUGUAGUGUGUAGUGUAGUGUGUGUGUGUGUGGUGUAGUGUGGUGUAGUGUAGUGUAGUGUAGUGUGUGUGUGGUGUAGUGUGGUGUGGUGUAGUGUGGUGUGGUGUGGUGUGGUGUAGUGUGUGUGUAGUGUGUGUGUAGUGUAGUGUAGUGUGUAGUGUAGUGUAGUGUAGUGUAGUGUGGUGUGGUGUGUAGUGUAGUGUAGUGUAGUGUAGUGUAGUGUAGUGUGUGUAGUGUGUAGUGUAGUGUAGUGUAGUGUAGUGUGGUGUAGUGUAGUGUAGUGUAGUGUAGUGUGUGUGUAGUGUAGUGUGGUGUAGUGUAGUGUGGUGUAGUGUGUAGUGUGGUGUAGUGUAGUGUAGUGUAGUGUGUAGUGUAGUGUGUAGUGUGGUGUAGUGUAGUGUGGUGUAGUGUAGUGUAGUGUAGUGUGUAGUGUAGUGUGUAGUGUGGUGUAGUGUAGUGUAGUGUAGUGUAGUGUGGUGUGUGUGUAGUGUAGUGUAGUGUAGUGUAGUGUAGUGUAGUGUGUGUGUGUAGUGUAGUGUGGUGUAGUGUAGUGUAGUGUAGUGUGUGUGGUGUAGUGUGGUGUAGUGUAGUGUAGUGUAGUAUGGUGUGGUGUAGUGUAGUGUAGUGUAGUGUAGUGUAGUGUGUGUGGUGUAGUGUGGUGUAGUGUAAUGUAAUGUAGUGUAGUGUAGUGUGUGUGUGUGGUGUAGUGUGGUGUAGUGUGUGUGUGUGUGGUGUAGUGUGUGUGUGUAGUGUAGUGUGUGUGUAGUGUGGUGUGGUGUGGUGUGGUGUAGUGUGUGUGUGUGUAGUGUAGUGUAGUGUGUGUGUAGUGUGGUGUGUAGUGUGUAGUGUAGUGUAGUGUAGUGUAGUGUAGUGUGGUGUAGUGUGGUGUAGUGUGUGCUAGAUUUGGUCUGCCCAAUGUGGACUCAAUCCCUCUGAUCUGAACAAAGAGAGAACACAAAUGUCCAUCCCCUCGCCAGUUUUUUGCUCUCCUCCCUCUCUCUCUGUUUUCAUGUCGUUGUUGUUGUUGUUGUUUUUGGGGGGUGCCCAGUUGUGCUGCUACUGUUCCCUAUCAUCCUGCUCCAUGUCUCUCUCUCUCUCUCUCUCUCUCUCUCAUCCUGCUCCAUGUCUCUCUCUCUCUCUCUCUCUCUCUCUCUCUCUCUUUCAUCCUGCUCCAUGUCUAUCUCUCUCUCUCCCUCUCUCUCUCUCUCUCUCUCUCAUCCUGCUCCAUGUCUAUCUCUCUCCUUUUCCACUUCUCUGUGUUCAUCCGUUGCUUUUUCUGGGAUGUUUCACUUGUUUCUUUGUCUGUCUGUGCCACUAUCGCUCCCACACCCUCUCAUCCACCCCUCUCCCCCUUUUUUUAGCAUCAACACCAUGUGCUGUUCCCACAUCUCUCUCUCUCUCUCUCUCUCAUUCUAUUUCUCUCUCUCUCUCUCUCAUUUCUCUGGUCUCUCUUUCUCUCCCACUUUCAGCAGCGACAUCAUGCAUUGUUCUCACAUUUUGUUUAUGCCCAGCUGUUUCAUACCCAAGAUUUUAAUCCCAAAUCCCACCCCUCUGUCCCC